GGCGGAGCUUGCGAAAUCGAAAAUUGGUACUUGAAAGUCAAUGGUUGAUCAUGGUGACCAUCUUUAAUUUAAUGGGGAAAGAUUAAUCAACAUUUGCAGCUGGACAGGCUAUCACCACAGUUCAAUGAUUUAGUUAAGACAAUGAAAUAGAAGAACUUCAUGCUAACACUUGCAUCAGUGGAAGUACUUCUUAUUGGAUAGAGAACUUUUCAAGGUCAGACGUCGGCUUUAGAAGUUGCUUUCUUGGCACAUCAUGCUGUCCAGUGGAGUUCAUACCAUAUACCAAGCCUUUAUACAUGGUCAAAGAAGAUGAAUUUGUUAUUCAAUUUAUGAAAUUUGAUUUAACGAGGACUUUCAUAUAUAAUGAUUAUAUUCAGCAGAUUAUCUUCAAGUGUGCACUUUAUAGAAUCACAGUUUCUAGGAGGUUUUCAGUUUAAAGUUAGAUUAAUUGAAAAGUAAGGAAAGCUAUCAUACUCACCAUUGCAUCGGCAUUGGCAUUACACCAGUGUAAAGUUUUUCUUACCAGUCCAUAUUUUAGAAGGACCUUUUGGAAGUAUUGAAUCUUACAACAGUAAUGUAUCAUCAUUAUACCAUGUUUUAGGCAAGAGUACAUAACUCCAUCAAGGAUUUGACUGAACUAUGGCCCUUUGAAACUUUUGUCACAUGUUUAUAAUAAUAGUCUCUAUAGGCAAGAGUUAAUAACACUAUAGUGUAUUUUGGAUGAAUUAUAUCCCUUUUGGACUUUGAAAUUGGUUUAGUUUUAGUACAAGUCCACAUCUUGACAUAUAGCUUUGAAUCUUUCAACACUAUGUAUUACCAUUACAAUAAUACAGUUUUAAGUAUAUAUAGGACUCAUUUGAAAUUUCAUUAUUGUCAUUAGUUGGACAGAGACAAUUAUUGUAGAUUAUAUCGAUUGAUUUUAUGUCAAGUUACAUCCUUUUCAUUUCUUGUUAAAAUAGAUGUAUCUCAGUAACCAAUGAAGAUACUGAUUUGAAGUGUCAUUUAUGCCAUGAGAUGGACUCAGACAAUCAGGGUAGAUAACUUUUGACUGAAUUUAUGACAAAUAACCUCCCUUUAUUUUAUGUAAAUGAUUAUAUAUCUCAGCAGCAUCUAAUGAAAUUGCUUUAAAAUGUUAUGUAAGUCUUCCAGGGUAAGAAAUAGACAUGCCAGUGCAAAAAUGCAGCAUUUGAGUCUAGGACCCUCAAACAUGAUAUGGAGAUUGGCACUGACUAGUGUGUGACCCAUAGAUCAAAAGGGACUGUUACAAUGAAUUUUUUAUCCUGAUGAUAUUUAAUGUGUAGCACUCUCGUCUAAAGUAUUUUUGAUUUAUUAGGAAAACAGCAGUGUUGGACAGAAUUGGAUGAAAAGUACAUUGUUAGAACUUAAAAUAUGCAACAUGAAGGUGAAUAUAGGUAAAUUUAUAAAUUCUCACCACAGGGUGUGUGGGUUAGUGGCUUUGAUUUGUGCAAAUUCAGUACAUAGAUCUAUAACCUUAGUCUGCUGAGAAUUUCUUCCCUUAAAUGAUGGAUAAGUCUUUAAUAUUGAAAUAAAUUUGCAUCUGUGCUUCUAUGGCAUUAUUAGGAAAGACACGUUAUUAUACAUUAUACAUUGUAACAGUUGAUGUUUAGAUCCUAUAAUUGUAAAACAUAAAAUAAAUGUUGAAAGUUUC